rnacentral:rRNA from 1 species
AGCGAACGCUGGCGGCAGGCCUAACACAUGCAAGUCGAACGAACCUUUCGGGGUUAGUGGCGGACGGGUGAGUAACACGUGGGAACGUGCCUUUAGGUUCGGAAUAACUCAGGGAAACUUGUGCUAAUACCGAAUGUGCCCUUCGGGGGAAAGAUUUAUCGCCUUUAGAGCGGCCCGCGUCUGAUUAGCUAGUUGGUUGAGGUAAUGGCUCACCCAGGCGACGAUCAGUAGCUGGUCUGAGAGGAUGAUCAGCCACAUUGGGACUGAGACACGGCCCAAACUCCUACGGGAGGCAGCAGUGGGGAAUCUUGCGCAAUGGGCGAAAGCCUGACGCAGCCAUGCCGCGUGAAUGAUGAAGGUCUUAGGAUUGUAAAAUUCUUUCACCGGGGACGAUAAUGACGGUACCCGGAGAAGAAGCCCCGGCUAACUUCGUG